ACGAACGCUGGCGGCAGGCUUAACACAUGCAAGUCGAACGCCCCGCAAGGGGAGUGGCAGACGGGUGAGUAACGCGUGGGAACCUACCCAAUUCUACGGAACAACUGAGGGAAACUUCAGCUAAUACCGUAUACGCCCUACGGGGGAAAGAUUUAUCGGAGUUGGAUGGGCCCGCGUUGGAUUAGCUAGUUGGUGAGGUAACGGCUCACCAAGGCGACGAUCCAUAGCUGGUCUGAGAGGAUGAUCAGCCACACUGGGACUGAGACACGGCCCAGACUCCUACGGGAGGCAGCAGUGGGGAAUAUUGGACAAUGGGCGCAAGCCUGAUCCAGCCAUGCCGCGUGAGUGAUGAAGGCCUUAGGGUUGUAAAGCUCUUUCAGUGGGGAAGAUAAUGACGGUACCCACAGAAGAAGCCCCGGCUAACUUCGU
rnacentral:rRNA from 1 species